rnacentral:tRNA from 1 species
AGCCUCGAGGUGUUUGACAUGUAGGAUUGCAAAUCUUAAGGAGCAGAUUAACGUCUGCCGGGGCUUCCCCC